rnacentral:lncRNA from 1 species
GGGGGGGGGGGGGGGGGGGGGGGGGGGGGGGGGGGGGGGGGGGGGGGGGGGGGGGGGGGGGGGGGGGGGGGGGGGGGGGGGGGGGGGGGGGGGGGCACACACCUGGGACAGGUGAGGAGUUUUGGGGUCACACCUGCACAGGUGAGGAGUUUUGGGGCACACACCUGGGACAGGUGAGGAGCUUUGGGGUCACACCUGGGACAGGUGAGGAGUUUUGGGGCACACACCUGCACAGGUGAGGAGUUUUGGGGGCACACAGUUUUGGGGAUGAUGUCCCUUGCAGGGUGGCCUUUAGGACAGGGGACAGUGGCAGGCAGGAGCAGCAGUUGUCCCCACUGUGACCACCCCCCGUGUGUGUCCCCACCCCAAAUGCUGCCUGUCCCCACCCCUGCGUGCCAAGGGGUGUCCCCCACUUUGACUGUCACCCCAGUGUCCCCUUCACCCCUUUUGGGGCACCCCAAGCUCCGGGGUGGCACUGACCCCCCCUCUGUCCACAGCUCUGAGCCACCUGAGGACCUUCCAGGUCCUGUCCGGGCUGUUCGUGGCCAUCGUGGCCGUGGCCAUCGUGGCCCUGCUGGCCAUGAAGGUGUGGCCCAGGGUCAGGAAAUCCCAGAGCUGGUCCCGUGCCGAGGACACCCUGGAGCUGAGGAGCAAACCGGACCUGUCACAGAUGGAUGGAGCAUCUUGACCUGGUGGCUCUCGGAUCCCGUUCCAGCUGUGGCCGCUGGAAUUUCCCGGUCCUGGCUGGAUCCAGGGACUCCUCUGGGGAUCCCCCCGCUCCUUCCCGAUGGGUUCUUGUCACCUCCUCUUGUCACCGGUGACAGCUCCGGGCUGGGAAAAUCCCGGAAAAAUAAUAAAAUGAAACCUGGGGACAUCCUGUUUGUCACCACCGUGCUCCUGUCCCUUUUUCCCUGCCGUCCAUCCUGGUGUCCCCUUGGAGAGGGGGACACAUGUGUCCCCAAGCCACCCGUGUCCCCUGGGUGCCUGGGAUGAGGGGAGCUGGGGUUGGGGGCUCUGCUUGCUGGUGGCAGCUGCGCCGUGUCCCCUCUGGCCGUGUCCCCUCUGGCCGUGUCCCUGCUGCCAUUAGAGGUCACUCUGCAGCCACUCGGCCACCAGACACGGCCUCGGGGAUGGGAUCGUGGG